rnacentral:rRNA from 1 species
UCCUACGGGACGCAGCAGUGAGGAAUAUUGGUCAAUGGGCGCGAGCCUGAACCAGCCAAGUCGCGUGAGGGAUGACGGCCCUACGGGUUGUAAACCUCUUUUGCCGGGGAGCAACGGGCGCCACGUGUGGCGCCACUGAGAGUACCCGGAGAAAAAGCAUCGGCUAACUCCGUGCCAGCAGCCGCGGUAAUACGGAGGAUGCGAGCGUUAAUCGGAAUUACUGGGCGUAAAGCGCUCGUAGGCGGUAUGUCAAGUCAAGGGUGAAAUCCCCGCGCUCAACGUGGGAACUGCCUUUGAAACUGGCA